ensembl:lncRNA
UCAGGGUUGAUUUCCUUUAGGAUUGUCUGGUUUGGUCUCCUUGCUGUCCAAGGGCACUUGGAGUAUUACACGAUGUUCCUAAGAGCUCCUCCAGCCUGGACCAGGAACUGAUUUCAGAGACCUGGCAAGAACGAAACACCAGGGCAACACCCACAACGAUUUUGCCUCAAGCUCACUUGUUUUUAAUCUUUCACGUCUCAUAGAUGAAAGAACUGAGGCACAGAGAGGUUAAGCAACUUGUCCAAAGCUAUCCAGCUGGUACCUGGCAGAUCUGGGAUUUGAACGCAGGCAGUCCGGACCCAGAAACCUUGCUCUUAAUCACUUUGCUAUCUUAUAUCUGUUGAGGAGCUGUGCCUCUAGGAAGUGAGAAGACCCCAGGAGCUCCAGUCUGGAUCCCUGAAAUCUCAAGCUUUAAGGAAGGAAUUGAACAAGAGCUCCAGUUCCAUCUGUGCCUGACGCCCAGGCGUGCCACUUGCUGCCUGACAAGGACAAGAAGAACAAACUGGCAGAGAAAAGGACACGGAGGAGGAAAGGAUGGACGCAGCAACUCUCCAAGUUUCUCCCCAACACAACCGCGAAUUAACCAAGACAGUCUGCACGCUUAAAUGCUACAACUGGGCUUCCGCAGAAAUGUUCCUGACUGAUGAGAUUUUGAACCUUCCAGCUGUCCUGGGCACUUUUUUUUUCAGACUUACAUAGCACCAGGCAUGUUUUUCCCAAGAGGCCACAGCAGACUAUCCACAACUUAGAUAGUUUUUCCUCCAGGUUCCAGGGUCACAAAUAACUUUAGUCCCCAUGGCAGGAUCUGGAAGAGAUAGGUCUGACAGCCCCCAUUCUUGCCAGGUGGACCCUCUUUAAGGCCUCACAUUGUAAAAAUCUUAUCUGACUUUACAUGUCUGUAGCUUCUCAUCCUGGGAAUUACUGAAAAUAUUUCCAAGAAUAGUUUGGGGGAUGGGCAUUGACAUCCCUUGGCUUCCCUGGUGGCUCAGUGGUAAAGAAACUGCCUGCCAAUGCAGGAGACGCAGGGUCA